rnacentral:rRNA from 1 species
UGAGUACGAGCUGCUACGGCAGCGAAGUGGGUGACGUCAAGCUUCCAAGAAAAGCCCUACACCCGUUAAGGCAUGAUGGCCUGUACCCGAAACCGACACAGGUGGGGUGGUAGAGAAUACCGAGGGGCGCGAGGUAACUCUCUCUAAGGAACUCGGCAAAAUGGCCCCGUAACUUCGGGAGAAGGGGUGCCACCGCAAGGUGGUCGCAGUGAAGAGGCCCAGGCGACUGUUUACCAAAAACACAGGUCUCCGCUAAGUCGCAAGACGAUGUAUGGGGGCUGACGCCUGCCCAGUGCCGGAAGGUUAAGGAAGCUGGUCAGCGCAAGCGAAGCUGGCGACUGAAGCCCCGGUGAACGGCGGCCGUAACUAUAACGGUCCUAAGGUAGCGAAAUUCCUUGUCGGGUAAGUUCCGACCCGCACGAAAGGCGUAACGAUCUGGGCGCUGUCUCGGAGAGAGGCUCGGCGAAAUAGAAUUGUCUGUGAAGAUGCGGACUACGUGCACCCGGACAGAAAGACCCUAUGAAGCUUUACUGUAGCUUGGUAUUGUGCCCGGGCUCUGAAUGCGCAGGAUAGGUGGGAGGCUUUGAUCCAUUGCUUGUGGGUGAUGGUGAGCCAACGGUGAGAUACCACUCUUUCAGAGCUAGGGUUCUAACGGUCACCCGUUAUCCGGGGACCGGACAGUAUCAGGUGGGCAGUUUGACUGGGGCGGUCGCCUCCUAAAAGGUAACGGAGGCGCGCAAAAGUUCCCUCAGGCUGGUUGGAAAUCAGCCGAUGAGUGUAAAGGCAGAAGGGAGCUUGACUGUGAGACCUACAAGUCGAACAGGGACGAAAGUCGGCCUUAGUGAUCCGACGGUUCUGAGUGGAAGGGCCGUCGCUCAACGGAUAAAAGUUACUCUAGGAUAACAGGCUGAUCUCCCCCAAGAGUUCACAUCGACGGGGAGGUUUGGCACCUCGAUGUCGGCUCAUCGCAACCUGGGGCUGAAGUCGGUCCCAAGGGUUGGGCUGUUCGCCCAUUAAAGCGGUACGCGAGCUGGGUUCAGAACGUCGUGAGACAGUUCGGUCCAUAUCCGGUGCAUGCGCAGGAAUAUUGAGAGGAUUUCUCCCUAGUACGAGAGGACCGGGAGGAACGCACCUCUGGUGUACCAGUUAUCGUGCCAACGGUAAACGCUGGGUAGCCAUGUGCGGAGUGGAUAACCGCUGAAAGCAUCUAAGUGGGAAGCCCACCUCAAGAUGAGUAUUCCCAUGGCGUUAGCCAGUAAGGUCACGGGCAGAACACCCGUUGAUAGGCUCUACGUGGAAGCCGGGUAACCGGUGAAGCGGAGGAGUACUAAUAGACCGAGGGCUUGACC